rnacentral:rRNA from 1 species
AGUGAACGCUGGCGGUAGGCCUAACACAUGCAAGUCGAGCGGCAGCACAGUAAGAGCUUGCUCUUACGGGUGGCGAGUGGCGGACGGGUGAGGAAUACAUCGGAAUCUACUUUUUCGUGGGGGAUAACGUAGGGAAACUUACGCUAAUACCGCAUACGACCUACGGGUGAAAGCAGGGGAUCUUCGGACCUUUCGCGAUUGAAUGAGCCGAUGUCGGAUUAGCUAGUUGGCGGGGUAAAGGCCCACCAAGGCGACGAUCCGUAGCUGGUCUGAGAGGAUGAUCAGCCACACUGGAACUGAGACACGGUCCAGACUCCUACGGGAGGCAGCAGUGGGGAAUAUUGGACAAUGGGCGCAAGCCUGAUCCAGCAAUACCGCGUGGGUGAAGAAGGCCUUCGGGUUGUAAAGCCCUUUUGUUGGGAAAGAAAAGCAGCGGGUUAAUACCCCGCUGUUCUGACGGUACCCAAAGAAUAAGCACCGGCUAACUUCGUG